rnacentral:tRNA from 1 species
GUCGCUCUAGCUCAACGGCAGAGCACUGGCUUGAAACACCAGGGGCACGAGGGUCGGCACCUCGGGGUGGCACCA